rnacentral:pre_miRNA from 1 species
AGCGGGUGCAGAGCUUAGCUGAUUGGUGAACAGCUGUUGGUCUCUCCUUUGUUCACAGUGGCUAAGUUCUUCACCUGGA